UCAAGUACCAAUUUUUUAUAAUUUAAUUUUUGAUAAGAACGUGCCAUUAAAAAAACGUGCUUGUGGAACUAUCACUCGCAUGGAUACGGAAAAUACUCGUAUUAGGUUCGUUUCAUCAAUAGCAUGCAUUUCGCUAACGAUGCCUAAAAGUGUGAAAAUGUGCAGUAUGGUGAUUUGAGCGAGGAAAUCUAAUACUUCAGAACACCAGUGUAGGUAAUUAUAUAUUUGACGCGUGUAAAAUAUUGGUUCACGAGUAUACCUAUCAAACAAUACAGAAAAAUAUGCGCGAGGGAAUCCUGUUUGUAUCAUUAUUGAUCUUGACCUUCACUCGCUUAGACUAUGUCAGCAAUUCUGAUAUUUUGGUGGUAUUGCCAGUGUUUUCGAAAAGUCAUUUCACAUCAUUUCAGCCUUUAUUCGAAGAGCUGAUCGGACGAGGUCACAACUUGACGAUAAUCAGCGCUGCAAAACUAUCGAAAAAAUUCCAACAAAAUUAUACUCACAUCGACGUCAGCCAUCUCGAUGCUGGUACAGUAGGCAUCAACUUCGCCGAAAUGAGAAAACAAACUAGACUGCAGAAUGUAAUAUUUUGCAACGAACGUCUCAGCGAGCAUACUACAAAAGUAAUGCGAGAGUUGCAGAUUCGACGCCUACUUCAUUCCAAAGAUACCAAAUUUGACCUAGUGAUGAUCGAGCUAUUCCAUAUGGACGUCUACGCCGCAUUUGGAAAUCAUUUCAAAGCGCCGGUGAUCGCAUUAAGCGCUCAAGCUCUGAUAUCUUUUUAUACUUGGACCUCUCAUAAUCCAUUGUUACCGUCGUACAUGCCAAAUAUGUAUUUACCCUUUACCAAUAAGAUGUCGUUCGUUGAGAGGUUUUGGAAUGCAUUUUUUACCAUUUAUAUCGGCCUCUAUCACCAAUUUGUAUCGCUACCGAGAAGCCAAAAAAUUAUGGAAGAAUGGUUUCCAUUUGAGGAUGUCGAUAAAAUUCCCAAACUCGAAGAUUUGAUGAAAAACAUUUCGUUGAUUUUGGUUAAUUACCAUUUCGCGUUCCAAUACCCAGUGCCAUUUUUACCUAAUGUUGUACAAAUUGCUGGACUACACAUCACCGAACCGAAUCCACUUCCUCAGGAUUUGCAAAGAUUCAUGGAUAGUGCCGCAGAAGGAGUGAUAUAUGUGAGUUUAGGUUCACUUAUUCGGCCCAAUGAUGUGGAUUCCAUUGGUAAAACAAUUAUCCGCGUAUUACAGCAUCUACCUCAAAAAGUCAUUUUCAAAUGGGACCCCGAAAUAUUGCCAUCGAAACCAGAUAAUUUUUUGAUUCGAACCUGGACACCGCAAACCAGUAUUCUAAAGCAUCCGAAUUGCCGAUUAUUCAUCACCCACGGAGGACUACACAGCUUACUAGAAAGCGUGAAUUUUUCGGUGCCCAUCAUCGGCGUUCCCUUUUUUACCGAUCAACAACAUAACAUAGCUUUGGUCGAACAUCUCGGUAUUGGAAAAAAACUAAAUGUCAAUUUUAACGACAAUGAACUUUUCCAAGCUGUGCAAGAAGUGAUCACAAAUCCCAUCUAUUAUAAGAAAAUGAGACUCCAAUCGAGUAAAUUCGACGAUCGUAUGACUUCACCUUUGAAUACCGCAAUUUUUUGGGUAGAAUACGUGUUACGUCAUAGAGAAGAUUUACGUCAUUUGAGACCUGCCAGUGCAGAUUUGUUAUGGUAUCAAUAUUUCUUACUAGAUGUUUUCUUGGUGAUCGUUUUAGCUUUUUUGUCGAUGCUGGCCUUGUUUUAUUAUAUUGUGAGAAGAAUUAUUUCUCGUUUCAGUAGACGCAGUAUUAUUUCGGAUUUUAAAUAUAAAAUUGGUUAAAAUUGAAAAAUUAUCAUUUUUUUUUGUAAUUCGUAUUAGGUAGGUAACAAUUAUAUACUUAAUUAUAUGAUGGAACCGAUUAGAAAUCAUAAAUUCGUCAUCAAAAUUAGAAUUCACCCAUUUCUGAAGAGGGCACUCAAAAUAUUUUAAAUUUUUACACCAGAUCCGAGUGUGCUGAUUAUCUCAAAUUCUCUCGAGUUUUUUAAUUUGAAGUUUCUAUCAACCUGUCAAAUUUAUGACAUCUUGAAGUGGUCUUUGGCUAUAAUGUUGGCGUCUAUGGAAGUAUUUUCAGAUAAACCCAUACGUCCACGACUAUCAUUAUAAAGACCGAUGCAUCAUUUCUCAUCGAACUGUUAACCUAUCUAAAUUUGUCAGUAUCAUGCCAAAAGCUGUUUACUGAUUUGAACGAAACGUCAUUUUUCAAGUGCGUACCCAUCUAUUGUAGCUACGUUCAAUUACAUAUUGAGAUUAGUUAAUCUAUAGUCGAUUGAUAUUCGAGUGAAAACAAUCAUGUGUGGUGUGGUAUGAUAUCAAGCAUAGAUAGUAAUGAACACUACACCGAAUACCGAUGCAAAUGAUCAAACGAGAUUACGAAAUUCAUGACAAACUAACCAAUUAUCGGACGUAGAUGUGUUUAUUUUUGAAUCGACGAGACCGAAUUUUCUGCCGAGAAUAAACCCAUAAUCAGUUAAAAAU